CGGGGUGUGGCGCAGUUGGCAGCGCUCCUGGUUUGGGACCAGGCGGUCCUCCGUUCGAGUCGGAGUACCCCGA
rnacentral:tRNA from 1 species